UUAGCUCAUAUUUGUAUGGAAUGGGAUCGUUUGCGUACGUUUGCCGCUAGGGGCGCUGUUCCAACUGCAUACAAAACUGGGUUA
rnacentral:pre_miRNA from 1 species